AUGUGUUGGAUGGACCAGCAAUUAACCUUGUGGUUGCACUGGAAUUUGGUUGGUGCGGUGGAGUUUCCUGUUGAAGCUGGGAGUAGGUCUAUAGUUUAUUCGAUCUUCUUCAUUUCUUCGUUCGUCUUAAGCUUCCUCAUUUCUGCCGUCGCCGCCGUUCAUUCCUUCCUCUUCAGUCGUCGUCGCCGCCGUUCGUUCCUUCCUCUUCAGUCGUCGCCGCCGCCGUUCGUUCCUUCCUCUUCAGUCGUCGCCGCCGCCGGUCAUUCCGUCUUCUCCACCUUGGUAAGAUUCUGA